rnacentral:rRNA from 1 species
UACGGGGGGAGCAAGCGUUGUUCGGAUUUACUGGGCGUAAAGGGCCCGUAGGCGGUCAGCACAAGUCAGUUGUGAAAUCUCCGGGCUUAACUCGGAAAGGUCAACUGAUACUGUGCGACUAGAGUGCAGAAGGGGCAACUGGAAUUCUCGGUGUAGCGGUGAAAUGCGUAGAUAUCGAGAGGAACACCUGCGGCGAAGGCGGGUUGCUGGGCUGACACUGACGCUGAUGCGCGAAAGCCAGGGGAGCGAACGGG